rnacentral:rRNA from 1 species
GAUGAACGCUGACAGAAUGCUUAACACAUGCAAGUCAACUUGAAUUUGGGUUUUUAACUUAGAUUUGGGUGGCGGACGGGUGAGUAACGCGUAAAGAACUUGCCUCACAGUUAGGGACAACAUUUAGAAAUGAAUGCUAAUACCUGAUAUUAUGAUUUUAAGGCAUCUUAGAAUUAUGAAAGCUAUAAGCACUGUGAGAGAGCUUUGCGUCCCAUUAGCUAGUUGGAGAGGUAACAGCUCACCAAGGCGAUGAUGGGUAGCCGGCCUGAGAGGGUGAACGGCCACAAGGGGACUGAGACACGGCCCUUACUCCUACGGGAGGCAGCAGUGGGGAAUAUUGGACAAUGGACCGAGAGUCUGAUCCAGCAAUUCUGUGUGCACGAUGAAGUUUUUCGGAAUGUAAAGUGCUUUCAGUUGGGAAGAAAUAAAUGACGGUACCAACAGAAGAAGUGACGGCUAAAUACGUGCCAGCAGCCGCGGUAAUACGUAUGUCACGAGCGUUAUCCGGAUUUAUUGGGCGUAAAGCGCGUCUAGGUGGUUAUGUAAGUCUGAUGUGAAAAUGCAGGGCUCAACUCUGUAUUGCGUUGGAAACUGUAUAACUAGAGUACUGGAGAGGUAAGCGGAACUACAAGUGUAGAGGUGAAAUUCGUAGAUAUUUGUAGGAAUGCCGAUGGGGAAGCCAGCUUACUGGACAGAUACUGACGCUAAAGCGCGAAAGCGUGGGUAGCAAACAGG